rnacentral:pre_miRNA from 17 species
CAUUGCUUGCUCACUCUGCCUGCCUCUGUUUGAUAUGUUUGAUAUUGGGUUGUUUUUUUGAAAAAGCAACUAUAUAUUAGACAUAUUCCUCCAGCGCCGGGCUCGAUCAACCGGACACACA